rnacentral:rRNA from 1 species
GACGAACGCUGGCGGCGUGCUUAACACAUGCAAGUCGAACGGACAGGCCCUGCGCUUGCGGCUUGCUCGAGUGGCGCACGCGUGAGUAACACGCGAGUAACCUGCCCCUGUCUUUCGGAUAUCAUCAGGAAACUCCGGCUCAUACCGCAUAGGAGCUCCUGCUGCAUGGUGUGGGUUGGAAAGUUACGGCGGUUGGGGAUCGACUCGCGGCUUAUCGGCUUCUUGGUGUGGUAGUGGCUUACCAAGGCUUCGACGGGUACCCGGCCUGAGAGGGUGACCGGGCACAUGGGGACUGAGGGAGGGCCCAGAAGCGUACGGGAGGCAGCAGGGGGGAAUAUUGCAGAAUGGGCGGGAGCCUGAGGCAGAAGCGCCGCGUGCGGGAUGACGGCCUUCGGGUGGUAAACCGCUGUCGCCUGUGACGAAGCGGGAGUGACGGUAAUGGGUAAGGAAGCACCGGCUAACUACGUG